GCACAUACAGAAAUGUAUGCUCAUCCAUUCUUAAGUAAUUGAUGUACGACUUGACGUCUUCCACUAUUCUAGCUGUGACUGAUGCAGCAAAUGGGCGAUCGAAAGAAUUUGAAAAAGCAGUCUGGAUAUAAAAAAAUUUUCACUUCCGUGUCAGUGAGAGUGAUUUUCGAUGAACUAAAAUGAAGAUACAACAGGUUCACGUAAAUUAAACACCUUUAGAAAUAGAAUUAAUGAUUGAAACAAUUAAAAAAAACUGUGAUAUUGAGGAGGGAGUAGUGAUACUUUCGCGAUUUUGAUCUGCCUGCAACUGUUGGACACCUGGCCAGUGAGAUGGAGUUGUACCACUUCUAUCAGUCCAGACAUUUGUCAAAGAAGUGCAGUUUAUGAAUGACCAAGUGGAUGAAGCGGCCACACUCUCACCGGUCCAGAUAUUCCUCAAAGAAGAAGAAGGUGCAUAUUGUAAGGCAGAAGAGCCUGUGCUGGUCUCACUUGUCCCAGUGCUUCUCAAAGAAGAACAUGUGCUUGAUGAAUCGCCGGAGGACUUUGAAGUUGGCAGUCACCCAUUGCUAAUAAAUCUGAGCCAAAUAUGGAAGUUACUGUGAAGUGCCUGCAGGAUGACUGCAAUUUUUUUCAACGUCUUGGCAAAUUUGAGAACACAUGCUGCAAAAGCACAUGCUUGCAGAGGAGAAAGGAAAGUUUAUAUUCCAGACAAUGGAUGGUAAGUAACUUCGUAUAAUAAUUUUAUGAUGUGCAAGAAAAGUAAAGUGUCUGGUAAAUCUACAGAAUUUCCUUCUUUGUGGCUAUAGUAUUCUGAUGCACUGUGUUACCCUGUAAAGUUUCUUUCAGUACAACUAUGAGGAUUAUUUGUGGUAACAGCAUAUUAUCAUGAGAAAUGGCUUCGGUAUUUAAGUUGCAAUCUUUGUAACGUUUGUUGGUCAGAAUUUGUGUAGUAACUGUAUUCUAACUUCAGUAUCACUCUAAUAUUUUGUUUCAGUAACAUGUUCCUUCACACUUGAAAAUUUCUGAAUGUUCAAAAUGACAUCAGUGACCAUAGUCAGUAUUUUUACAGUAAAAUUGCUAUGAAUUGCAGUGACAGAAUCCAGAUUUGUGAGUGAUGUUACCUAUUUUUGUAAUGGAUGUUUCAGAGUUUCUGAAGUGAAAGUCCAAAGAAGAGAAGACAGCAAGAAGUAGCUAUUUGUGUUUUUCAUGGUUUAUAGGC